CCAUGAGAGGAGGCAGACUGGGAGUAUUUUGCUUCUCCCAGGAGAACAUCAUCUGGGCCAACCUGCGCUACAGAUGCAAUGAUACAAUCCCCGAGGACUUUGAGACAUUCAGAAGCCAGCAAAUCCAGCUUUUUUGAACCCAAUCUCAACAGUUCUUUUUUACAAGAUUAAUGAAUGUGAGUUGUAUAUUUCUGUCAUGUGUGUCAUAUUAUAUACUCCAUUUUUUUAUACUUUGUGAACAGUAGAGCUUUAAGUAACCCCCUAAUGACAGACAUAAAUUAAUGGCACUGCAUUAGCACUGAGAAUUUAAAUAUAUAUAUAUGUAUUUUAAAAACACGUACAGAAAUACAGGUUACAAAAUAUAAAUGAUAUAACAAGAAGGCUCUGAUAUAUGCAGCUGAGACAUCAUGCACAUCCAUAUUUAGUUUUUUUUUUCUGAGAAAGGAAAAGGACCAGCAAAACAACAAAGACGAAAUCAGUUCCUUCUACAAUCAGUUACCACAAAUAGGAGA